AGGUCGCCCCCCCCUGGUCUAGUCCUCCCCCCGGCUUCCUGCUUCUGCCUUAAUGGCUUGUAUAUUCUGGAGAACAGCAUUCGUAGAGACCGGCUGGCAGAGAUUCUGGAACGACGGGGAAAGGAAUACAAGAAACACCAUGCCAGGAACGCAUCGCCACUAGUACCAGGGGCAUUGGAUUCAGAUGAGAAAGGGGAUAAGCUCGAGUUUGAAUACACUCCUCUUAGCUCCAUCCAACUCUCCACUGCAGUAUCCCAUUCAGGGUUUCACAGUUCGCCCCAUGGUCCCCACUCUCAUUCCAGGUAUCACUAAAUGGUGCCAAAGGUGUGCUCCGUCUAGGGACCCCAAGUGAAGCAGAGUGUCGAAGUUGACUUCAUGUUUGAGUAUCACCAAGAUGUGUUCCCCAUUGUCAUUCGGCAACCACCCCUACCUGUCUACUAUGACAUUGGAACAGGUACAACUACAAAAGCCAGUCCUUACAUAUCAUCCGUUUUUACCUUUUAGUACCGUCAUAAACCCAUACCUUCUACCUACCUAUCUCUGGCCAUCCUCUUCUCCUUACUCACAACCACAAACCUACCCAAACAAACUCUCUCUCCCACAGACAUUAGCCAUUGUGUGACAGUCACCACCAAGACCUUCAUGCGAUACAAGGAGUUGAGGGUAGUGAUGGGCAAAUGAAGCUUUUAUAAAGCAUUGAACCAGUUGAGCCAAUGUUUCGAAAAUGGGUUCAUUACUCGAAGCUUCAGUGACAGUGACCUCUGCUGGCGAAGUUCGAGGCUGCAGUGGAUUCAACGUAUCCCUGCUUUGAAAACUAUUUGACGCACAAACACACAAACCCAAAUACUUAAUAGCAUGAUCUUUUCACGAAUAAAGAUUGAUCUAAAUACAGAUGUCUAAAUUGUUCUUAAAGGGAUAUGCCUACCCAGAUAGCAAAAUGACAUCGAAUCAACGUUGAAAUAUGGUCAUGGAGGUUGAUUAUUGGUUGUGGUUGGUUAAGGUUGAAAAAUCAACAUUGAAUCAACAUUGUUUUAUGGUUGAAAUUGCACAUUGAAAUGCCAACGGUGGAUCAACAUUGAAUCAACAUUGUUUUAUGGUUGAAAUUGACCAUUGAAAUUGACAUGAAAUGCCGACGUUAAAUCAACGUUAUUUCAAUGAUUGUUAUCUUUUGUUUUGUUUUUGUGAUUUUGUUUAAAACUAACGAAAAUGUAAAAGAAAUGAAUGCAUGUGUACAUCUGUUCUUGUUCUAGUGAUGUUACAUUGUAUGAAAAAAAAAAAGAACAUUCACUGUGAUUUAGCAAUUGGAGAAGUCUAUGAUGUGGCAGGGUUUGGAAGGGGGGAAUGUAGGUGUACACGUGCAUAUAUUUCUUGAUAUGUAGCUCUGGCCCAGAGCUAUAGA